GCUAGUGGGCCCCCGGGAGGCCGGGAGCCACCACCUACCAGAGCCUGAGCCCGGAAUCGACGGCGCCGCCGGAGAUGGAGACGGAGGCGGCUGCGGCGAGGCAGGCCAAGGAGUCCCUGGAGCUGGCGUUCCAGAUGUCCCAGAUCCUCGACACCGGCCUCGACCGCCACACCUUGUCGCUGCUCAUGGCACUGUGUGACCGCGGCGCCAACCCCGAGGCCCUCGCCGCCCUCGUCCGCGAGCUCUCCUCCGCCGCUCCCCCAACCGCAGCGGCGUCGACCCCUCUACUGUGAGCAACGGCACCGCGGCCCCGGCCCCGGCCCCAUCAUCCGUGUCUCUGUUCCCCUCCGGCUCCGGCCUUCGCCGUUCCUAGGGUAUUGCUGAAUACUGAACGGGACUAUGUCAUCAUUGUGUAACAAAUGCAAAUGUAAAGCUGGAAUUGCUGGAUGAAAAGGAGUGCCUUCUGCAUUGUUGUGGCUUUUGUUGAGACAAGAAAUCUGUGGUUCACAGAGGCACUGAAAUUGACGUAUCCUUCCAAGGACUUGUGCGGGUUAACAGUUGUGAUCAUGAGGUGUCGUUUUCUUUUUCAUUCAUCAUUAGAUUACGUCCAUCAGUUGUAUGCAUCAGUUUCGCAGUCGGUCUUCCGUCAAUUAUCCUCACUUUGACAAUACCGCGCCGUGCCUUGUGAUGUGCUUAUCCUGCGAGGGCACGUGUCAUGGGCUCAUGGCUGAUCCAACAUUCGCUUUCAGAUUGCAGUCAAAAGGUGCGAGGAUGACAUCCCGUCCGCUGCUCCCGUGUCCCGUCGUGAAUGUUUGAUACCAACCGUGCAAGUUGCGAUGCACAAUUCGGAAGGUUUGAUCAGCUCUUGCAGGCUGUCCAGGUUCAAUGCAUCGAUUUCGUAUUGCUCAAUUCUUGUAAAUUUUUUUAGAGAGGCUACAAGUUUACUUUAGCUUGAUCAGGUCAGGAAUUUCGGCUGAAUCUUAUCGGAGCAACAUAGUCCUAUAUUCGAAUUGAUCGGACUACUAAGCUCUUAAAAAAAGCCGGCCUGGGCCGACCUUUAGUGGACCGGUCGUUUUGGACUGCGGGAUCUGCUCCCAAUGGCCCACUAGCGCAAUUUCAGGUCAUUUUUUUUUCUAGAGAAAGAGAUAGGAAAACCAUUUCCAUGGAAGGGAAUGCGUGCGUGCGGUGUGAGGUCGGGCGCGGAGUUAGGUCAAGCCGCGGUUGCGACGCGGUGGGCGGGCGAGCCGAAACCAAGCGGCGAUCGAGGCGAGGCGUGGCGUGGCGUCCGGAGAUGUCGCAGAAGAGGCAGCCGGGGGAGAGCGACGGCCAGCGCCGCAGCGGGGGCGCCGAGCCUGGCGGGAGCUCCUCCUCUUCCACCCUGCCUUACCGCCCCGGCGAGCCGAAGCGCCCGAGGGUCGCCCUCCGCGAUGUGAUCACGGAGGUGAUGCGGAACACCAGCAUCGAGAAGUUCUUCAUGGCGAUCGAGCCCCUCAUCAGGAGAGUGGUAAAAGAAGAAAUUGAGUCAGCAUUUGCGAAUCAUGCCUCUAUGAUGGAAAGUGUCACAGAUACUCUCCCAUGUACAUCAAAGAAUUUGCAGCUGCAUUUCAUGACUAGGCUAUCUCUUCCAAUAUUUACUGGCUCCAAGAUUGAAGGAGAGGGAUCCUUAAGUAUAACUGUUGCUCUAGUUGACACUUUGACGAGACAAAUUGUAGCAUCAGGCAAGGAGUCCCUGAUGAAGAUUGAGAUUGUAGUUCUAGAGGGGGAUUUUGAAAGUGGAGAAGAUGAUGACUGGACAGCUCAGGAAUUUAACAAUAACAUUGUCAAAGAAAGGGAAGGUAAAAAGCCCUUGAUUUCUGGAGACGUGUUUGUUGCCCUUAUUGAUGGCAUUGGAACAGUAGGGGAACUGUCAUUCACAGAUAACUCCAGCUGGACACGGAGCCGAAAGUUCAGGCUUGGUGCAAGAACAGAGGAUGGUUGUUUCAAUGGCAUAAGAGUACGGGAAGCAAAGUCGGAAUCAUUUGUGGUUAAGGAUCAUCGAGGAGAGUUGUACAAGAAGCACCACCCACCAUUUCUUGAAGAUGAAGUAUGGCGCCUGUUGAAAAUUGGCAAGGAUGGUGCAUUUCACAAGCGUUUGAAUAGGGAGAGCGUCCGCACUGUCAAGGAUUUCCUCACCUUGCUACAUCUUGAUGGUCCUAGGCUUCGAAAGAUAUUAGGUGGCGGCAUGUCAACAAAAAUGUGGGAGGCCACAGUGGAGCAUGCGGAAACAUGUGUUUUAACUGACAAAGUGCAUUACUAUUAUCCAGACGGUGUAAACAAAGCUGGUGUUGUAUUCAAUGUAGUUGGAGAAGUAAGAGGGUUAAUAUCUGAUAAAUUUGUUUCUGUUGAUGAUCUUACUGAACAGGAGAAGGCUGAAGCACGUGUGGCUGUGAAGCAAGCAUAUGAACACUGGAAGAACGUCUUUACAUGUGACAAUGAAACACUUGUGGAAAAUUCUUCGCAGCUGUUCAAUACGAGAUCUCCAUCUUUGCAUGAAAAUCAAUAUAACCAGUUUCCCACACAAGUUUCUACAGAUAGCUUUGUGUUGAGCCAUUCGACCCUACAAUCAUCUGACAUUUUCUCCAUGGAACCAUCCUCUUCAUUAGACCCUUGUGUACUGGAGACUGAGGAGAGCAAUGAAAAUCGAUUUCAGUCAGAGAUGCCCCUAGUUGGUGGCCAUGAAGCACCUCAAGAGUCUCAUACACUGGAUAAGUUCUCCAACUCUUUGGUUUACGAGGACUGCAGUCAUCCCCCAUUCAAUGAUAUCUAUUAUGGCCCCGUAGAUCCCAGCAUAUCCUUUGACACACAAGAUCUUGGAGCUGCACUGAAAGGUUUCAUUGCAACUAUAUCUAAGCCUAAGGCGGCAUAUAGAGGAUGGAGGAUGCUGUCUUAUGUGCUAGGAUGGAUUUUCUAUACCAAGAGAAUUGUGGCAAGGAGAAAGAAACAUGGGAAAUAAAUGUCCGAGGCUUUGUGCCUCUGCGUAGUUAAAUUGAAAAUUAUAAAUAGGGAGGAGAUUAUGUACAUUAGAGUUGUUUGCUGCCUCUUCUUUUGGGUGCAGUUGGUAAGCGCUGCUGGUUUCUUGAGCUGUAUAUGAGCAAUUUAUCAGCUAGGGUUCCGAUAUGCGGCUGUAAAUAAUCAGAUGAAGUUUUUUGUGCAGGGUUAUGGGCAAGUAUUGGUGAUGAAAA